GACGAACGCUGGCGGCGUGCUUAACACAUGCAAGUCGAACGGAAAGGCCCUGCUUUUGUGGGGUGCUCGAGUGGCGAACGGGUGAGUAACACGUGAGUAACCUGCCCUUGACUUUGGGAUAACUUCAGGAAACUGGGGCUAAUACCGGAUAGGAUCUCCUGCUGCAUGGUGGGGGUUGGAAAGUUUCGGCGGUUGGGGAUGGACUCGCGGCUUAUCAGCUUGUUGGUGGGGUAGUGGCUUACCAAGGCUUUGACGGGUAGCCGGCCUGAGAGGGUGACCGGCCACAUUGGGACUGAGAUACGGCCCAGACUCCUACGGGAGGCAGCAGUGGGGAAUAUUGCACAAUGGGCGGAAGCCUGAUGCAGCAACGCCGCGUGCGGGAUGACGGCCUUCGGGUUGUAAAGCCCUUUUGUUGGGAAAGAAAAGCAGCAGGUUAAUACCCCGCUGUUCUGACGGUACCCAAAGAAUAAGCACCGGCUAACUUCGUG
rnacentral:rRNA from 1 species